CAGCAGCCGCGGGAAUACGAAGGGGGCUAGCGUUGUUCGGAAUUACUGGGCGUAAAGCGCACGUAGGCGGAUAUUUAAGUCAGGGGUGAAAUCCCGCAGCUCAACUGCGGAACUGCCUUUGAUACUGGGUAUCUUGAGUAUGGAAGAGGUUAGUGGAAUUGCGAGUGUAGAGGUGAAAUUCGUAGAUAUUCGGAAGAACACCAGUGGCGAAGGCGACAUACUGGAUCAUUACUGACGCUGAGGCUCGAAAGCGUGGGGAGCAAACAGGAUUAGAUACCCCAGUAGUCCCUGUCUCUUAUAC
rnacentral:rRNA from 1 species